GACGAACGCUGGCGGCGUGCUUAACACAUGCAAGUCGAACGGAAAGACCCUGCUUUUGUGGGGUGCUCGAGUGGCGAACGGGUGAGUAACACGUGAGUAACCUGCCCUUGACUUUGGGAUAACUUCAGGAAACUGGGGCUAAUACCGGAUAGGAGCUCCUGCUGCAUGGUGGGGGUUGGAAAGUGUCGGCGGUUGGGGAUGGACUCGCGGCUUAUCAGCUUGUUGGUGGGGUAGUGGCUUACCAAGGCUUUGACGGGUAGCCGGCCUGAGAGGGUGACCGGCCACAUUGGGACUGAGAUACGGCCCAGACUCCUACGGGAGGCAGCAGUGGGGAAUAUUGCACAAUGGGCGGAAGCCUGAUGCAGCAACGCCGCGUGCGGGAUGACGGCCUUCGGGUUGUAAACCGCUUUCGCCUGUGACGAAGCGUGAGUGACGGUAAUGGGUAAAGAAGCACCGGCUAACUACGUG
rnacentral:rRNA from 1 species